rnacentral:rRNA from 1 species
GUGACCCCAGGUCAGGCGGGGUUACCCAUUGAGUUUAAGCAUAUAAAUCAGCGGAGGAAAAGAAUCUUAAAAGGAUUCCCCUAGUAAUGGCGAGCGAAUCAGGAAAAGCCCAACCUUAGAAUCGGGCGGAUCCAUUGUCCGAAUUGUAGUCUUGAAGGGGGCACCGGAGAGGGUGAGAGUCCCGUCGUGCCCACACCCUGUCGCACCACGAGGCGCUGUCUACUAGUCGGGUUGUUUGGGAAUGCAACCCGAAGCGGGCGGUGAAUUCCGUCUAAAGGCUAAAUACUGGCGAGAGACCGAUAGCGAACCAGUACCGCGAGGGAAAUAUGAAAAAGACAUUGAAAAUAGAGUCAAAGGGUGCUUGAAAUUGUCAGGAGGGAAGCGUAUGGGGGCCGGCGAUGCACCCCGAUCGGAAGUCGAACGGUGAUGAGCCGGUCUACCAAUCGACUCGGGGCGUGGACCAGCGUGGAUUGGGGGCGGCCAAAGCCCAAGUUAUCGAUACGCCUGUGUAACGUUGUCUCAACGAUUAUGGAAGGCAACACGCGCCUCUGGUGUGCUUCGGCAUCUGCGCGCUCCGGACGCUUGCAUGUGGACUCCUGAUUUGACCCGUCUUGAAACACAGACCAAGGAGUCUGACAUGUGUGCGAGUCAACGCGCGAGUAAACUCGUAAGGCGCAAGGAAGCUGAUUGGUGGGAUCCCUCUGAGGGGUGCACCGUCGACUGACCUUGAUCUUCUUAGAAGGGUUCGAGUGUGAGAAUACCUGUCGGGACCCAAAAGAUGGUGAACUAUGCCUGAGUGGGGCGAAGCCAGAGGAAACUUUGGUGGAGGCCCGCAGAAAUACUAACGUGCAAAUCAUUCAUCUGACUUGGGUAUAGGGGCGAAAGACUAAUCGAACCGUCUAGUAGCUGGUUCCCUCCGAAGUUCUCCUCAGAAUAGCUGGAGCUCGCGUGCGAGUUCUAUCGGGUAAAGCCAAUGAUUAGAGUCCUCGGGGGCGCAACGCCCUCGACCUAUUCCCAAACUUUAAAUAGGUAGGACGGCGCUACUUCUUUGUUGAGCCGCGCCAUGGAAUCAAGAGCUCGAAGUGGGCCAUUUUUGGAAAGCAGAACUAGCGAUGCGGGAUGAACCGGAAGCCGGGUUACGGUGCCAAAUUGCGCGUUAGCCUAGAUCCCACAAAGGGUGUUGGUCGAUYAAGACAGCAGGACGGUGGUCAUGGAAGUCAAAAUCUGCUAAGGAGUGUGUAACAACUCACCUGCCGAAUCAACUAGCCCCGAAAAUGGAUAGAGCUUAAGCGCGCGACCUACACCCGGCCGUCGGUGCAAGUGCUACGCCCCGAUGAGUACGAGGGCGCAGCGGGCGCGAGCUUGGGCGGAGUGGCUGUCAGUGUAGAUCAUGGUUGUAGUAGCAAAUAUUCAAAUGAGAACAUUAAAGGCUGAAGAUGGUAAAAGAUCCAUGUGAACGACAUUUGCACAUGGGUUAGUCAAUCCUAAGGGUCGGGGGAACCCCGACAGAUAGCGCGUUUCGCGCGUACUCCGAAAGGGAAUCGGGUUAAAAUUCCUGAACCGGGACGUGGCGGUUGACGGCAACGUUAGGAAGUCCGUUGCACACACCAAGGACAUGCAUGAGAAAUAAUAGGUCUUUCCUAACAACAUGAUUUAUGUAAAGUCAAGUGAGUGGACUUGCAAAAUUUUGAUUAGGAAAGUCAAUGGACAUGCAAAAUUUGUAUUUGGAAAGUCAUGCAAUGAGUGUAACAUGCAUCAUCAAACUCAUCAUUUUGUAAAAAGUACAUAACAUAUUUCACAUAUCAUAUCACAUAGUUCAUAUCAUUCUUUCAUAUCCCAUGAGACCUUGAGAUCAUGGACUUGACGUUAAGACUUCUCAAAAUGAGGGCUCAACAUAUAGGACGUAAUCUAGGAAGCCUUCUUCAGUAAAAAUAGAAUCUGCUUCGUUCAUUCAUAUGUACUUCAUUUUUCAUUCUUUCAUAUACUAGUGCAGUCACUAGUCAUACCUAGGAUGUACUUCAAAACUCUCAUCGGGUUUGAUGUGCAUUGACCAAGAAUAACCUAGCGUCAUUAUUUAUGUCUAGCUCACCUCUUGAUAAUCCUAUCCUCACAACUUAAGUACCGUUCAUUUCAUUAUGUGCAUCAUUUGAGGCUGGACUCAUUCAUUUUUUCGGAACUUUAACUUUAACUGACAUAGAUCAUGUGAGCAUCAUGAAAUGUAGUGUCUCCCCGAUACCGAAAAAGGUGGAAUCACCGGCCAAAGUGACCCAAAACAUGCUAUCAUACAUGGGUAUUGAAACCCGCUAGAUCCCUAAUUGGAAGUAUAGGUUUGAAGACUAGGAGAUAUAAGGAGACUCAUACUCGGUAUGCCGGACAGUCUCAUCUCAUAGGRAUUUCGUGAACCUGCGCCCUUCCCUAAAGAAGGCAUCACCACUCAUAGCUAGCCAAUCGGUGCUAAAUAUAAACUUCCAUUACAUUCAACUCAUGCAUCAUGUUAGCUGGCUUCUAGCAUGAGGACAUCAUAGCUCAUUAGAUGAUUUCUCAUCUCAUCAUUAGUAUUGAGUA